rnacentral:lncRNA from 1 species
AUAUAUAUUAGUCUUAUAUUAAAGGGAAAAUUGAAUCUAAUGUUUUCUUAACUAUUUUUACGGCAAUGUUUUCUUAAAUUCUGACUAUAGCUAAUCUGUUAGGAAUUAUUAAUCUCUUAAAGUAAAACUCAAAAAUAACUUUUUAAUCUUUCUGCUUUAUCUACGGAUACUACCUAGUAACAUAAACCGAAUGGAAAAAAAUCAUAUUACAUCUGAUUAUCUAUACUAUUAUUUAUAAAGUGAUUUAGCUUAUUUGUCAUGAUUUUCAUGAUUUUAGAUAGUUUUGUUUAUUUGUCAUGUUUUAAUUAGUUUUAAGUUGAGUCAUUGAUUUAUUAAUAGUUUUUAGUUGAGUCCCUAAUUUAUUAAUUUAAAAAAAUAAUUAAAAAAUACCCUUAUUGAAUCUUAUAUAUAAUUUAAACGAAUUUUAUUUUAAUAAUAUUAAUUUAUAUGUUAUAUUAAAUAUUUAGUUAAUUUUUCUUAUUUGUCAUAUUUUUAUUAGGUUUUAUACUUUUAGUUGGGUUAUUGAUUUAUUAUUAGUUUCUAACGUAUUCACUAAUUUAUUAAUUUAAACAAGGACAAAUCUCCAAAAUAGCAUUUUUCUAAGUUUAUAUCACAAAAAUAGCACUCAAAAACUAAAAUGACCAAAAUAACAUUUUAUCUUUUAAAAAAUUUAAAUUUUUUUAUUUUUCAAAAUUUGAAAUCUUAUUCCCAAAACCUCACUUCUCAACUCUAAACCCUAAAACCUAAACUCUAAACACUAAACCCUAAAUUCUAAACCCUAAACCCCACUCCUUGAAUGCUAUUUUUGUGACUUUUGGCCUUGAGUGCUAGUUUGGGAACAAAAACUUGAUUUAGUGGUCUUUUUUCUCUUUAAACAAUACCAUUAAUGAGUUUUAUAUAUAAUUAAAAACGACUUUUAUUUGAUAAUAUUAAAUUUAUAUGUUAUAUUAAAUAUUUUAUUAUAAAAUAAUAUAAUAUAAUAAUCAAAAAACUUAUUAAAAAUAAGAUAAGUUAUAUAUAUAUAUAUUGUGUUGCUAUCUGGAAACAAUAUUUUUAUUAUAACAGUUAAAAAAUUAAGAUACCAAAUAGUUUAUAAUUUAUUAUUGUAAUUAUUAUUUGAGAAGUGAAUUUGUUGAUUUGUCAUCUUAUCCAUAAUUUUAGGCAAUUUUACUUAUUUACUACAUUUUUAUUAGGUUUUAGCUAAAUCACUGAUUUAUUAUUAGUUUUUAGUUGAGUUACUAAUUUAUUAAUUUAAAAAAUACCCUUAUUGAAUCUUAUAUAUUAUUUAAACGAAUUUUAUUUUAAUAAUAUUAAUUUAUAUGUUAUAUUAAAUAUUUAGUUAAUUUUUCUUAUUUGUCAUAUUUUUAUUAGGUUUUAUACUUUUAGUUGGGUUAUUGAUUUAUUAUUAGUUUCUAACGUAUUCACUAAUUUAUUAAUUUAAACAAGGACAAAUCUCCAAAAUAGCAUUUUUCUAAGUUUAUAUCACAAAAAUAGCACUCAAAAACUAAAAUGACCAAAAUAACAUUUUAUCUUUUAAAAAAUUUAAAUUUUUUUAUUUUUCAAAAUUUGAAAUCUUAUUCCCAAAACCUCACUUCUCAACUCUAAACCCUAAAACCUAAACUCUAAACACUAAACCCUAAAUUCUAAACCCUAAACCCCACUCCUUGAAUGCUAUUUUUGUGACU